CGCCAGCCUGACGGAGCCAGACCGCGUGGGGGAGGAAGGCCCUUGGGUUGUAAACCCCUUUUCUCAGGGAAGAAACCUGACGGUACCUGAGGAAAAAGCCUCGGCUAACUCCGUGCCAGCAGCCGCGGUAAUACGGAGGAGGCAAGCGUUAUCCGGAAUUACUGGGCGUAAAGCGUCCGUAGGGGGCGCAUCAAGUCUGCUGUUAAAGGUCGGAGCUAAACUCCGGUAGAGCAGUGGAAACUGGGGAGCUAGAGGGCGGCAGGGGCAGAAGGAAUUCCCGGUGUAGCGGUGAAAUGCGUAGAUAUCGGGAAGAACACCAGAGGCGAAAGCGUUCUGCUGGGCCGCGCCUGACCCUGAGGGACGAAAGCCAGGGGAGCG
rnacentral:rRNA from 1 species